AGCGAACGCUGGCGGCAGGCUUAACACAUGCAAGUCGAACGGGUAUCUUCGGAUACUAGUGGCAGACGGGUGAGUAACACGUGGGAACGUACCUUUCGGUUCGGAAUAAUACAGGGAAACUUGUACUAAUACCGGAUAAGCCCUUCGGGGGAAAGAUUUAUCGCCGAUAGAUCGGCCCGCGUCUGAUUAGCUAGUUGGUG
rnacentral:rRNA from 1 species